ACAUCAUGUACAGGUACAAACACCCAAUGAUAAAUGUAAAUGAAUUGUAUACCUAAAAUGUACCAAUAAAAGAACUAAAGAAAAAAGAAAUAGUGUCUGACUCCACCUUCUUCCCAGCUGGAGGACCUGGAGGUCAAUGUGGCUGAUCACAUCCAGAAGGUCAUGAAAGUGAACUUUGAAGCUGCCUGGGAUGAGGUGGGGGACGAGUUUGAAAAGGAGGAGACAUUCACGCUAUCCACCAUCAAGACGCUGGAAGAGGCUGUGGGCAACAUUGUGAAGUUCUUGGGAAUGCAUGCGUGUGAGAGGUCAGACAAAGUGCCAGACAACAAGAACACACACACACUGCUCCUGGCAGGCGGGCUCCGGGGUGGUCAUGACAUCCUCGUGCGCUCGUGGCUGCUGCUUUUGGACACAGUGACAAUGCAGGUGACAGCCCAAAGUUCAGAGGAGUUGCCAGUCGACAUCAUCUUGGCAUCUGUGGGCUAAGAGGCCCCCACAGAGGCCCAUCCUCCUCCCCAACACUAUGCAGAAGUCUCGCCUUUCUUUAGCACGAGUCUGGUGGAAACCCCUUCCCCAGCUUCUGUAUUCAGACACAGACGAAUCAUUAUGGCUUUUGUUUUGAAUUCUGUACCCUCAUUCAGAACUGCUGGAAGGUAGCUUUUUAAAACAGGAUUAUUUUAGGUUUUCCUAGAUCAUGCUGUCUUGCCUGUGAGGGAAGAGACAUCACAAAUGAAUAAAGUUCAUACCUCUUCUUGAAUUUAUCCCCAAAGAAACAUAUCCCCUCCCUAUAUAAUAAACAAGCAUGUAUUUAUGGACUGACAUCUUCUUCAGCAGGCUCAUCCUUGGGGCUCCACCUUCCCGCUCCUGUCCCCUCUACACCCACAGCCCUGCCCAGGACCCAGCCCCUCGGGUGCCUUCACGGCCGUCCUCUGUAAAUGAUAAAUGGGGGUCCCAGUGGUCGGGGGUUAAUGCCCGGGUUUCUGCUCCGUUAGUUGGGUCCAGUGAGUGGCAAGCCAGGAGUGGCCCAAAUACACCGGAAGUGCCUGUUUCUAAAGCGGGAGCCUCGUCGCGGUCAGGAGGAUCCCAAGUUCAAUCUGGUGGGACCCUGGCUCAAAAUAAUAAAAAGAUGAGGCAGCUCUGCAGAGGCCCUAGGAUUCCACUCCGGUACCGGUACAUAUGCAGGGUCAGCCCUAGGACAUUGGGAUUGUUUGCCAGCAUGGGAGAGCCGAAGGUCUCGCUCUGGUGCUCAAUGGUUUAGGCCACUGGUAUGGGCCAGCAGUUUCCCCUUUUCUCCAGUUGGCCCACCCUGAACAUCCACGUGGGUUGAAAUUGAGAAAGCAGGGUGCCCAGGAGCCAGCGAGGGGUGGGGGGUGGGGGUGUUAACCUCGCCAGUCUGAGACGCUCCCGGCCACGCGUCCCUUCAGGCGCUGUCUCGGGUACUUCCGGAAGGCCCUCAGCCCCGAGGGGCCGCGCCGCUUGGGGGCGGGGCCUAUCCCGGGGCCGGGCCUGGCGCCUGAGCGAGAUUGGCAGGGUUGAGAGCACACCCCCAUAGUGAGGGAGGCGACACUAGGCUGGCUCCCCGGCUGAGAAAAGGGCGAGCGCGGCGACGAUGUGUGGGCGGACGUCCUGCCAUCUGCCCAGGGACGCGCUGACCAGGGCCUGCGCCUACCGCGACCG